AAUGUUACCUUUCCAACAUCACGGCUUUUGGCUCUCAUUUUGUUGACCUGGGAUUCAGCGAUGUCCGCUCUCUCCUGAGCUUCCUCCAGCUCAUGUUGGACCUUUCUCAACCUGGACAUGUGAGUGUUGGCCUGCUCCUCCUGUGAAGGAUUUCAGGUUGUGCCAAUGAAAAAAAAUUCUAAGACUGGUGU